UGACAACCCUGCUGUGAAUGUGUCAGCGUUGUUGAAUUUCAGGCCAUUUUCUUUUUGUUUCUUUACUCUGCUGCAUCUCACGGCUUCAUUUGAAAAAGAAUUUUCAGUCAAUAACAUUUACUUGUGUUUCCUGGUUAAACUUGUUUUUGUUGGAUAUUUUCAUCAGUCUAAGUGUUGGAUCAGUAGAAGAAGAAGACGAUAAAACGUCUUCUCUGUGAUUCAUUGUCGGGCUCAGUUAAUUCUCAGUAGCUGCUGAGUCUCCAACAGAAUUUCUCAACGUUUCCUUGAACUGGACAACACAGAGGGCUUUAAUUCUCCCUCUGAUGGACCAGGAGAGGCUCUUAUUUUCUGUAGUAGGAAACAAUGUAUUUACCAACAGUGUGAUAUUGUGAGUAAUGAGAUGUAUUUGUGUUUGUUUUCAAGAUGCAAGAAUUUUCACAGUAGGACUGAGAUAGAAUUACAGUCAAUAUCUAUCGAUCGAUCAGACAUAAAGGCCUGGAUGAGCUGUAAUUUCCUACUGCUGAAUUCAGACCAGACUGAAGUCAUUGUAUUUGGCUCCAAACAUCUUAGACAUACACUUUCAAAGCAUAUAGUUCCUCUGGAUGGCAUCACAUUGGCCUCCAGUACUACUGUGAGGAAUCUUGGAGUUAUUUUUGACCAGGACAUGUCCUUUAACUCACACAUAAAACUAAUCUGUAGGACUUCCUUUUUUCACCUGAGAAAUAUUGUAAAAAUCAGGAACAGCUUCUCUAUUUUUAAGACCAGGCUUAAAACCUUCCUCUUUGACAGAUCUUAUAGUUAAGGCUGACUGGGUGACCCUGGGGGGGUCAGCUGGAGUCUUUCUAUUGGACGUCCCUUAGUUCUGCUGCUACAGACUGCUGCUGGACCUCUCUGGAUGCAUUCACUCUUUCUCCUUGUGUUCUUCCUCCACGUGUCCCUGAUCCCAUGGCUGGAUGCUGUUGGUCUGUUGAUGGUGUUCAUCCACACUGGUUAGUCUCAUUCGCUUCCGCAUUGAUGAUAUGGUGCUGUCUUACCUCUACCGUACUAUUUACAGAUACCCAACUCGACGGAUCGACGUUGCGUUGCUCGUACUCUUGUUGGUCGGCUCACUGGCUCUAAAUAUGACUUACAAGAUAUACACAGGGAAACUUUAAUACCAGGGGCUUACACCACGAAAUAUUCAGGACGUAAUGUGUUCUGCCAGAUGAGAUCAGAAGCAGAUAGAAAAGUUCUGAUUGUCCAGAAUGAAGCAGAACUGAUGAACAACUUUAGACUGAACUGGUUUUAAUGUUUUAUCUGCUAGCAGCUCUGAUGAUGCUCUCUACUGUUUCACUUGAAGAAGUCUGAUCGUUCUGGAUUCACUCUCAGAUGAACGUUGCCUUUUGAAAUGAAGCUGUAGAAUUAUAGAAAGUACUGAGUUAAUUCACACAAAUGAUUGAUUUUAUUCACUGCUGGAUGGUUUGUGAGUUUCUUUCUGAGAUCUUCCUCUUAUUUGAAGGUUUUAUUUGCUGAUCUGUGUUUUGUUCUGUUAAUCUGCAGAAUAAUCUUGUACUCAGUGACUUCACAAAAAUGAUGUGAGCAGAAGUUGAUCAGAUUCUUCAUAAAGAUCUUGUUCAAAGUGUUUUAAUGUGUAGCUGUGAGUGGAUUUCAUGUUGUUGAUUUUUGCUGAUUUUCUGCAGCAUAAAAUGCAUUAAAAUGUUGGAAGUUCAGCAGUC